AACGAACGCUGGCGGCAGGCCUAACACAUGCAAGUCGAACGGGCACCUUCGGGUGUCAGUGGCAGACGGGUGAGUAACGCGUGGGAACGUACCCUUCGGUUCGGAAUAACCCGGGGAAACUCGGGCUAAUACCGGAUACGUCCGCAAGGAGAAAGAUUUAUCGCCGAAGGAUCGGCCCGCGUCCGAUUAGCUAGUUGGUGGGGUAAUGGCCCACCAAGGCGACGAUCGGUAGCUGGUCUGAGACGAUGAUCAGCCACACUGGGACUGAGACACGGCCCAGACUCCUACGGGAGGCAGCAGUGGGGAAUAUUGGACAAUGGGCGAAAGCCUGAUCCAGCCAUGCCGCGUGAGUGAAGAAGGCCCUAGGGUUGUAAAGCUCUUUCAGCGGGGAAGAUAAUGACGGUACCCGCAGAAGAAGCCCCGGCUAACUUCGUGCCAGCAGCCGCGGUAAUACGAAGGGGGCUAGCGUUGUUCGGAUUUACUGGGCGUAAGGCGCGCGUAGGCGGACAUUUAAGUCAGGGGUGAAAUCCCG
rnacentral:rRNA from 1 species